rnacentral:rRNA from 1 species
GCGAAUCGCCCUUCGGGGUGCAGCAGGCGCGAAAACUUUACAAUGCGGGAAACCGUGAUAAGGGGACACCGAGUGCCAGCAUCAUAUGCUGGCUGUCCAGGUGUGUAAAAUACACCUGUUAGCAAGGGCCGGGCAAGACCGGUGCCAGCCGCCGCGGUAACACCGGCGGCCCGAGUGGUGAUCGUGAUUAUUGGGUCUAAAGGGUCCGUAGCCGGUUUGGUCAGUCCUCCAGGAAAUCUGAUAGCUCAACUAUUAGGCUUUCGGGGGAUACUGCCAGACUUGGAACCGGGAGAGGUAAGAGGUACUACAGGGGUAGGAGUGAAAUCUUGUAAUCCCUGUGGGACCACCUGUGGCGAAGGCGUCUUACCAGAACGGGUUCGACGGUGAGGGACGAAAGCUGGGGGCACGAACCGGAUUAGAUACCCGGGUAGUCCCAGCCGUAAACGAUGCUCGCUAGGUGUCAGACAUGGCGCGACCGUGUCUGGUGCCGCAGGGAAGCCGUGAAGCGAGCCACCUGGGAAGUACGGCCGCAAGGCUGAAACUUAAAGGAAUUGGCGGGGGAGC